UACGUAGGAGGCGAGCGUUGUCCGGAGUUACUGGGCGUAAAGGGUGCGCAGGCGGUGGCCCGCGUGGGCGGUGAAAGCUCCUGGCUCAACUGGGAGAGGGCCGUCCAGACGGGGUCACUUGAGGGGCGGAGAGGGGCGUGGAAUUCCGGGUGGAGCGGUGAAAUGCGUAGAUAUCUGGAGGAACACCGGUGGCGAAGGCGGCAUCCUGGACCGGCAUUGACGCUGAGGCGCGAAAGCCAGGGGAGCAAACGGG
rnacentral:rRNA from 1 species